GUGAGUCACUUGUACUGAUGAUUGACAGAAUAUGUGCUCUAACGUAAACUACGCUUCCAGCCAAUGAGUCAGCUGCCAAAACAUCCCGUUCAGGUCCGCUUUUAACCCCGUAUGAAACUGACAGUAGUAGUUUUUAAAUGCCUUUCUCAUAAGAAGUGACAACUUGAAGAUAGAGGAGACAAAAAUGGUGUGUAAAAGAACAGGGACUAAAGUCUUUGGUCUUCUUGCAGGGAAACUAUUGAAAUAAAAUGAUUAAUGAUGUGUGGGGAGUUGUAGUCUAACAUGUAUGAAAGAAGCUGCAGCCAGAGAGAGGGAGGGGAGAGUCUACAGAUGGAGAGAGAUGCUGUUGCCAGGGAACAGCAGCCACAUAGGCGACCACUGAAAACAACAGCAGAAUUAUCUGUGGGAGAGAAGGAACACAGAGACCCGCGCUUAUUUCCUACCAAAUUUGCUUAGGGUUAAAUAAGUUGCCUCCAUGGAGGGAUUUGGAUACAGUGACUCAAAGAAGCUUUUUUUUAAUUGAUAUUGUGGUAGUCAAGUGUAUUUUUUGUCUGAAUGAAGACAGAAGAGCAGAGAGAGAGAGACAGAUCAUGAUGCCAGAGCAGAUGCAUUCCCGUUAAAGGAAUUUUGUGUCUUGGUGGUGUGGCUGUAGGAGCAGGGAGGCAGGCUGUCGGCUCGCGCUUCACGGCCAGGCUUUUCCCCAACAAAGGUGGUCAGACGGGGAGGAGAGGAGGCGGGGGGAGUCCAGAACAGAGGUGCCUCCUGUCUCCGGGCACCUGCUGCUGGCUAGUUGCUGAUAUCGAGGACACUGUAUGCCUGUGUCAGGGCAUGACUGUGUGAAUUAAUGAAGGGGAGGGAGGAAUUUCAGCUUGACCCUAUGCUUUUCUGUUGAUGUUCCCCUCUCACAUCUUUGCAUCUGUGACUGAGACGGAGGAAGGCGCUCAGGCACCGACCAGAGAGAGAGGGAUCUGUGGGGAUCUCUCAACGCUCAUGCCCCUGCUCUCCUCUCCGAGGGAUGGGCACCACAGAGGCAACUCUACGCAUGGAGAACAUGGAAGUAAAAGAUGAGUGGCAG
ensembl:lncRNA